GUCGGAGGAAAUUCUUUCGGUUUCGUAGCUAACGCAUUAAGCACUCCGCCUGGGAAGUACGGUCGCAAGAUUAAAACUCAAAGGAAUUGACGGGGGCUCGCACAAGCGGUGGAGCAUGCGGUUUAAUUCGAUGUUACGCGAAAAACCUUACCAACCCUUGACAUGGUGGUUACGGAUCGCAGAGAUGCUUUCCUUCAGUUCGGCUGGACCACACACAGGUGUUGCAUGGCUGUCGUCAGCUCGUGUCGUGAGAUGUUGGGUUAAGUCCCG
rnacentral:rRNA from 1 species